GCGGGCGUGGUGGAAUUGGUAGACACGCAGGAUUUAGGUUCCUGUGGCGAAAGCUGUGCGAGUUCGAGUCUCGCCGCCCGCA
rnacentral:tRNA from 2 species